AGUGAACGCUGGCGGUAGGCCUAACACAUGCAAGUCGAACGGCAGCACAGUGAGAGCUUGCUCUUACGGGUGGCGAGUGGCGGACGGGUGAGGAAUACAUCGGAAUCUACUUUUUCGUGGGGGAUAACGUAGGGAAACUUACGCUAAUACCGCAUACGACCUACUGGUGAAAGCAGGGGAUCUUCGGACCUUGCGCGAUUGAAUGAGCCGAUGUCGGAUUAGCUAGUUGGCGGGGUAAAGGCCCACCAAGGCGACGAUCCGUAGCUGGUCUGAGAGGAUGAUCAGGCACACGGUAACUGAGACACGGCCCACACUCCUACGGGAGGCAGCAGUGGGGAAUAUUGGACAAUGGGCGCAAGCCUGAUCCAGCCAUAUCGCGUGGGUGAUGAAGGCGUUCGGGUUGUAAAGCCCUUUUGUUGGUAAAGAAAAGCAGCUGUUUAAUACCCCGCUGUUAUGACGGUACCCAAAGAAUAAGCACCGGCUAACUUCGUG
rnacentral:rRNA from 1 species